CAAGCGGUGGAGCAUGUGGUUUAAUUCGAUGAUACGCGAGGAACCUUACCUGGGCUCAAAUGUAUGUUGACGUAUUCUGAAAGGGAUACUUCUUCGGACAAUAUCAAGGUGCUGCAUGGUUGUCGUCAGCUCGUGCCGUGAGGUGUCGGGUUAAGUCCCAUAACGAGCGCAACCCUAUCAUUAGUUGCCAUCAGGUCAAGCUGGGGACUCUAAUGAAACUGCCUACGCAAGUAGUGAGGAAGGUGGGGAUGACGUCAAAUCAGCACGGCCCUUACGUCCAGGGCUACACACGUGCUACAAUGGCCGGUACAAAGGGCAGCUACCUGGUGACAGGAUGCAAAUCUCCAAAGUCGGUCUCAGUUCGGAUCGGAGUCUGCAACCCGACUCCGUGAGGUUGGAUUCGCUAGUAAUCGCGCAUCAGCCAUGGCGCGGUGAAUACGUUCCCGGGCCUU
rnacentral:rRNA from 1 species